UACGUAGGGUGCAAGCGUUGUCCGGAUUUAUUGGGCGUAAAGAGCUCGUAGGCGGUCUGUCGCGUCGGAUGUGAAAACCCAAUGGCUUAACCUUGGGCCUGCAUUCGAUACGGGCAGACUAGAGUGUGGUAGGGGAAACUGGAAUUCCUGGUGUAGCGGUGGAAUGCGCAGAUAUCAGGAGGAACACCGAUGGCGAAGGCAGGUUUCUGGGCCAUAACUGACGCUGAGGAGCGAAAGCGUGGGGAGCAAACAGGAUUAGAAACCCUAGUAGUCC
rnacentral:rRNA from 1 species